GACGAACGCUGGCGGCGUGCCUAAUACAUGCAAGUAGGACGCAGUUGCGAACGGGUGAGUAACGCGUAGGUACCUGCCUCUUAGAGGGGGAUAACUAUCGGAAACGAUAGCUACUACCGCAUACUAGUAGAUGGACCUGCGUUUGAUUAGCUAGUAGGUAGGGUAAUGGCCUACCUAGGCGACGAUACAUAGCCGACGUGGGAGGAUGAUCGGCCACACUGGGACUGAGAAACGGCCCAGACUUCUACGGGUGGCAGCAGUAGGGAAUCGUCGGCAAUGGGAGGAACCCUGACCGAGCAACGCCGCGUGAGUGAAGAAGGUUUUCGGAUCGUAAAGCUCUGUUGUUAAGGAAGCGGUACUUAACCAGAAAGGGACGGCUAACUACGGGCCAGCCGCCGCGGUAAUAC
rnacentral:rRNA from 1 species